UGUCAAAUAAUCUCAAUAAAGAGAAUCGUUGU
rnacentral:piRNA from 1 species